GAUGAACGCUAGCUACAGGCUUAACACAUGCAAGUCGAGGGGAAACGACAUCGAAAGCUUGCUUUUGAUGGGCGUCGACCGGCGCACGGGUGAGUAACGCGUAUCCAACCUGCCCAUCACUUGGGAAUAACCUUGCGAAAGUAAGACUAAUACCCAAUGAUAUCCCACGAAGGCAUCCGAAUGGGAUUAAAGAUUUAUCGGUGAUGGAUGGGGAUGCGUCUGAUUAGCUUGUUGGCGGGGUAACGGCCCACCAAGGCGACGAUCAGUAGGGGUUCUGAGAGGAAGGUCCCCCCACAUUGGAACUGAGACACGGUUCAAAACUCCUACGGGAGGCAGCAGUGAGGAAUAUUGGUCAAAUGGGCGAGAGCCUGAACCAGCCAAGUAGCGUGCAGGACGACGGCCCCUAAU
rnacentral:rRNA from 1 species